rnacentral:lncRNA from 1 species
GGACAUAAAAUCAUCUUCCACAGAACAAAUAUGUUGUUCAAUUGUAUCAGAAACGACAAAAAUAAGAUUAACCGAGCCUGUCUCUCCGGAGUAUACCAGAUUCCUUUCUUUGAUAAUGACACCAAUACUAAUGAGAAGUAUAUUGGUUAUACAACACGCUCUCUUAAAAGGAGGAUCCAAGAACACAAAAAAGACCCUGGAGAGUAACGCUGCUACUACGGCUCUAGCACAGCGGGUGCUUGUAUCUGACUUACAAGUUGAUUGGUCCAAUAGUAAACUCUUGCGGCAGGAGCACGAUCUUAAGAGAGGAAGAAUUGCUG